AUCCAGCUGACAAGUCCCAAAUAGGACGAAACGCGAGUCAAACUGGAU
rnacentral:hammerhead_ribozyme from 1 species